rnacentral:rRNA from 1 species
UACGUAGGGGGCUAGCGUUGUCCGGAAUCAUUGGGCGUAAAGAGCGUGUAGGCGGUCUACUAAGUCGGAUGUGAAAGCCCUCGGCUCAACCAAGGAAGUGCAUCCGAAACUGCCGAGCUUGAGUACUUAAGAGGAUCGCGGAAUUCCCGGUGUAGAGGUGAAAUUCGUAGAUAUCGGGAGGAACACCAGUGGCGAAGGCGGCGAUCUGGGAAGAUACUGACGCUGAGGUGCGAAAGCGUGGGGAGCAAACAGG